rnacentral:rRNA from 1 species
AACUUUCAACAACGGAUCUCUUGGCUCUCGCAUCGAUGAAGAACGCAGCGAAAUGCGAUAAGUAAUGUGAAUUGCAGAUUCAGUGAAUCAUCGAAUCUUUGAACGCACCUUGCGCUCCUUGGUAUUCCGAGGAGCAUGCCUGUUU